CCAACAUAUCCAACGCAGUCUCUUGAACACCUCCUCUCUCUCUCUUCCUCGCAGGCAUGUCGCCUCGCCGCCGACGGCUCCAAACGCCACUGCUCGAGCACUGCCACCUCCAACCUCCGCCCUACUUCAGCACAGAGCACUGCCCCCCUCCGACCUCCAUCCUGCUCCAUCACGGCCUCAUCGCUACCCUGCAGCAUGCGCUACCGCGUACGUGUGCGCUCGUUUCUCGCACGGACUCGCCCCGACACCUCCUCUUGCAUACCUCCCCCCGCCUCCUCCUGCCCCACUCAUGUCGCCCACAGAUCGACACCGCCACCGCCGGCCGCCCCCAUUUUGAAGCCGCCGCUGCCGGUCGUGCCCAGAUCAAUGUCGCCGCCAUCCACAUGUCCCGUCUCAAAUCAAGACGUCUGCCUCCAGCCUGAUUCAUUGUCAACCAGCUCGCGGCCCCGGCGUACCACACCCGUUGGAGCUCCGGUUGCGGCGGCGCUAGGGCCCGGGAGAAGCAAUCAGCACUGGGGGAGGCGAGUAUUCUUCCAUGUAAACUUCAUUCCAUCCUCCCUCCCGAUUCCCCGCCGAUCUGACAAUUUUGUUGCUUGCGGUGCCACCAAAGCCUGAACUGCAACCAUGCACGAGCCUAGAAAGUUUUCAGGUGACACAUGAAGUGGAGCAGCAAAGGUUAAUGGAAGAAAGGGAUAAAGUGGCGAGGGAGGAGGCUAAGAGGAGAAUUGUCAAGGCACAACCGCACAACCGAUACUGAAGGAGAGCAGAAGCCUCUUACUGAAGUGCCACAAUUUGAAUGGCAUGUUCAUGGAAGGGCAAUUAAAAUAUCAGAACUUAAUACAUACUGUGGUUAAGGAGAUCAAUUAUGAGAGGUUGCAAGAGGAGAACAAAAUUGCGUAGAAGUGUACAAGGCUGGGCAUGAAAUGAGAGUAACAACAAUGGAUUCUAGCCUCUGGGUGUUGUAAGUUGUGUUGGCUAAUAUAUAGAAGAUACUUAAAAGUCCAAAUAUCUGAUGCCCCACACUGUGCCAUGACCAUCGUCUGCAAUGGCAACAACCGCCAUGAUCCAGAUUGUGGAGCCCUUUUGCAGAGUUCAGACUCACAAGUACAGAGUUCCCUCCCUGGGCAUCUGGAAUGGCCUAAGUGCAGAGUUCCCUCCCUAGGAGUUAAUAUCUCCCUAGGCUAUGACAUUGUAUUAUUAUGAUGUAUCCAAGUGAACAAAGUCAUCUUAUUACCAUUAAUAACUCCCUAGGCUAUGACAUUGUAUUGUUAUGACGUAUCCAGGCCAUGGGUUGUAAGAACUGAGAUAUUUCUUCAUCCUUUCAUUCUAUCGUGGAAGUUCACCUUCAACGGGUUUCUUUGGCACUGGCUCCUACUGCAAGGUGGUGCAUGUUAUGUCUGGUACAUGACCUUGUCGCUUGUGUUUAAUUACGUUACUAUUACUUCACAAAAAAAAUGUUACUGUUAACUCUUGGUUUUCUAGCUGGGCUCCCUAUCUCAGCUACCCCUGAACUUUUUUUUCAUGUUUUAUGUGGCGAUGUACUAUUUUUAGUAUGUGCUAUCUACAAUAGAUGAUUAUCUCCUAAAUUUCCAAACAUCAUUAAUGCCCCUCUAUAUUGCAGCCAGUUUACUCUAAUUUGAAAAGUCUGGCCCGGAUGAAAAAUAAUCAGCUUAUGUAUAAGUAUUGUACUAGAUCACUAUAUUGUUUUCCCUUGACCUUAGUUAUUCAAAAUGACUUGAAUUGUGCUCCCUCCGUUCCAGAAUUCUUGUUUCAGAUUCGGAUGUAUUUAUUCACAAAAUAUGUCUAGAUACAUCCAAAUUUACGACAAGAAUUAUGGAAUUGAGGGAGUACAUUCCAUUUAUUUUGCAGCGUGUUAUUGGGGUAGACUUGACGUGCAUGAUCUAGCGAUAAAGGUCUUUGAAGGAGACAUGGAGAUGGUGUACGGCAGCGGUUUGAAAACCUUUUUGAAACUAUAAAGGUGGAGAGGAGGUGCCGAGCAAUCAAAGUAAACAACCGGCAUAGAUCACAAAAAGAAAUGAUAUACUCCUAUGUUGCUUUUCUCUGUAAGGUCAAAUUUUGACAGACCAAGCUAUCCACUGUUUUUUGUUAUACACAUGAGUCUCACACUUUAUCUCAUGAAAAACAAUACUUUUGGCAGCAAGCAAUUUUUUAUGUUUAUUCGUGUA